UUAGAGUUUGAUCCUGGCUCAGGAUGAACGCUAGCGAUAGGCCUAACACAUGCAAGUCGAGGGGUAACAGGGUAGCAAUACCGCUGACGACCGGCAAAUGGGUGAGUAACGCGUAUGCAACCUACCGAUAACAGUUGGAUAGCUCCCUGAAAGGGGAAUUAAACCGGCAUGACACUAUGAGAUCGCCUGUUUUCAUAGUUAAAUAUUUAUAGGUUAUUGAUGGGCAUGCGUGACAUUAGCAAGUUGGUGAGGUAACGGCUCACCAAUGCUACGAUGUCUAGGGGUUCUGAGAGGAAGGUCCCCCACACUGGUACUGAGACACGGACCAGACUCCUACGGGAGGCAGCAGUGAGGAAUAUUGGUCAAUGGACGGAAGUCUGAACCACCCACUUCGCGUGCAGGAUGACUGCCCUAUGGGUUGUAAACUGCUUUUAUAUAAGAGGAACAGUAUUUAUGUAUAGAUAUUUGCCAGUAUUAUAUGAAUAAGGAUCGGCUAACUCCGUGCCAGCAGCCGCGGUAAUACGGAGGAUCCGAGCGUUAUCCGGAUUUAUUGAGUUUAAAGGGUGAGUACGCGGUAGUAUAAGUCAGCGGUGAUAACUCGCAGCUCAUCUGUAAGCUUGCCGUUGACACUGUAUUACUUGACUUAACGUUGAGGUAUGCUGAAUGGGGGGGGGUUACCCGUUGAAAUGCAUUAAUCAAAACAACAGACCACCCGAUUUGCGGACGGCAGCAAAACUACACUGUCCACUGACGCUGAUGCACAAAAGGCGUGGGUAUCAAACAGGAUUAGAUACCCUGGUAGUCCACGCUGUAAACGAUGAUUACUGGUUGUUUGUGAUACACUGCAAGUGACUGAGCGAAAGCACUAAGUAAUCCACUUGGCGAGUACGUCGGCAACGAUGAAACUCAAAGGAAUUGACGGGGGCCCGCACAAGCGGUGGAGCAUGUGGUCUAAUUCGAGGCAACGCGAAGAACCUUACCCAGACUUGACAUCUAGGAAAGGUCCUUGAAAGAGGAUCGUGCCCGCAAGGGAAUCCUAAGACAGGUGUUGCAUGGCUGUCGUCAGCUCCUGUCGUGAGAUGUUGGGUUAAGUCCCGCAACGAGCGCAACCCCUGCUUACAGUUACCAUCGGUUCGGCCGGGGACUCUGUAAGGACUGCCGCUGAUAAAGCGAAGGAAGGCGGGGACGACGUCAAGCAAUCACGGCCCUUACGUCUGGGGCUACACACGUGCUACAAUGGCCGGUACAAUGAGUCGCAAAACCGCGAGGUCAAGCUAAUCUCAAAAAACCGGUCUCAGUUCGGAUUGGAGUCUGCAACCCGACUUCGUGAAGCUGGAUUCGCUAGUAAUCGCGCAUCAGCCAUGGCGCGGCGAAUACGUUCCCGGGCCUUGUACACACCGCCCGUCA
rnacentral:rRNA from 1 species